CGCUUUUGUGCUCAGUAGAUGGCAGCAACAGUUCAUUAAUAGAAUGGCUUUCGCAGAUCACAAGGUGUACUCAGGACGCUGGUCAAAGGUCAACACACUUUUAACCUCUUAUUUCUCCCUUAACUGGAGGAUUUUUUUCUUUGUUGCCUGAUAUAAAACCUUUAGCGCAAGAUGUUGGCUUGUCCUUAUCGCCUGCUUUUUAUAGCUGGAUUACAGGUGACAAAUGCCUCAUGAGGUAACAUGGGCAGGAGCCCAGUCUACCUCAAAGAGAGCAUUUCCUUUGGUCAGCCUCAAGGUGAGGCUCCAGCCUCCGGCAUCUGGAGUAUCUCUCUAUCUUCCUUGGGUGGAGGAAGGAGAAGCUCCAAUUCCAGGGCACUCCCCACCUUCUGCAGAAACAAAGUGAUAUGUCUAAAGGAAGCUGCUUUGUGGUGUGGUCCCUGGAAGAAUGGGGAGUUUCUAUGGGUAAAAUACCUUUGUCCCUGUGUCAUAUCAUCAUGGUGCACUGCAGUGUGCUGUCCUGGGGCAGAGGAGUGGAAAGCCCCAGUACUGCCAUAACCCCAGAUGAUAACAGUACCUGGGAAGAGAGUGGCAACACAGCAUCUCUACAAAUGUUGGAAUGAUCUCAACUCAAUGUUUUCUAAUGGAGGUAAGUGGUUCCUCUAUUGAGAGAAAGAAAAAAAAAAGCAAUUUCUUCUUAGUUGUAUUGCUUUAUUUUCAAUUGGGAUGAUAUAUUCUAAGUUAGAAUCAUGAAUAUUACUUUAAUUCAAAGAGCAGCUACAGGCUUUUAACUGUACUUUUUGUUCCUGAAAAGUGGCACCCUUGGUGGGGGUAGGGGGAGCUGCAGCUUUAGAUCCUUAGGAAAAAUUACUCCAUAUUUUGUGAAAGGAGAUUUGUUAUUUUCUGGAAUGCAAGAUGUUUUGUUAAACUCAGUCUCUCUUAGGAAUAGCAUCCUCAAAGCCAAAUCACUCCCAUUAGCAAUUGCCAUGAGACUGACUUGUUUAUUUAUCAGCAGUUAAUUCCUUCACUCCUCUCACAUGAAGCUAAGAAAUCAGUUUGCUAAAGAGAUGAAUACGUAUUUUUUGGAGUGAGGCAGCCCAGGCAAGAUACCACUUCCUGCUUUCUUUUCCAUAUUUGUUAAUGUUCUUUUAUUAGCACAGUACUAACCUUUCACAAAACAAAGAUCAGAUGGGCAGGCUGAUGCAUGCCUAGUGAUUGCGCCCCGGAGUAC
ensembl:lncRNA